ensembl:lncRNA
CAGCCUUCUGGAGCACUUCACCAAAGAACAUCAGGAGAAGGAAAAAUGGCAGUCCGAGGGAACAGCAGAGAAGUGUGUAACCACGGUAAUUUCUGACCCCACUUCCGCCAGUCCCUUUAUUGUGGCGGGAAUGAACCCCGUAUAAGUUCCGGGUCAAUCGGCUGCAUGUUCCCUGCUCCUCUGGCUGCUGUUGUCCCUGUGGUUGGCGUUCUUGUCAGAUAUUGACAACUUUUACACUACAUACUAGUUGACAGCGUGCAAUAACCCGGCCGAUUCAUUCAUCUUUACACCACCUCACAAUCGACUCAACGGUCAGGUUUUUUUUCCCCGCGAUCAUCUCUGAUCAGCGCGGGAUGGCGAGCCACCCAACUACCGCUGCACUGCGGUAGGACUUGUGAUGCUAUGGAUUGAAUCGAACUGUUUCCCCAUGACCUAUCACAGGCUCCAUAGUCGAAACUACUUCUGGUUGCUCAUUUUCUAUGAAGCUGCAGUCAGGCGCCCUGGUCCUUCACCGUGUUACAAGUGGAUGGAAAUUCUUCAGGCAGCUGACCUCCCCAAUAAUGCAGGCUGUUGUAUCCUUUGUACUCAGCAUCCCAUCUUCCACUGGGUUUGAGGAGAAGAAUAAGUGGACUGAUGUGCGGAACAAAUGUUCUACUGAGUUAAUUAGAAGUGAGCUCAUUGUCAGUCUAAAUUAUGAUAUGUCUUGCUCAGAGUUUUACUCUGCAGUACUGAAAGACAAACAACUCCUAACUGCAGCAAGAGCUCAAAAAAAUACAAAUGGAAAAAGUAGUCUCUUUCCACAUAAUGUAGCAUUGAGCUUUUGAGUUCAUGAGUUUGUUGGGUUUUUUUUACUUCAACUUUCAGCUACAGUCAAGGCCUUUGAGGCACAAAUAUUGUGUUUACAGGUGUUCCACAGACUUUGUUUGCACUUUUCUAAUUGCACUAAAUGUGCGCUGUUACAAGAAUGUUUUUCUUUCUAUUGUUUUCUAUUAAUUUAUAUAAUUUUAGGUUAAGCAGGACAGAGUUCUUUGUGUUAAUUUUGUCAUUUUGCACAAAAAGUGAAGCGUACCAGUCCUUCGUUUAGGAAAGAGACCUAUUUUAUUGUGUUAAUGUUGUCAUUUUGCGUUAAAAAUAAAUGGCUAAAUGAUC